rnacentral:rRNA from 1 species
UAUAGUACGGACGUACCCUGGAGUGGGGGAUAACGUAGCGAAAGUUACGCUAAUACCGCAUACGAUCUAUGGAUGAAAGCGGGGGAUCGCAAGACCUCGCGCGAUUGGAGCGGCCGAUAUCAGAUUAGGUAGUUGGUGAGGUAAAGGCUCACCAAGCCGACGAUCUGUAGCUGGUCUGAGAGGACGACCAGCCACACUGGGACUGAGACACGGCCCAGACUCCUACGGGAGGCAGCAGUGGGGAAUUUUGGACAAUGGGCGCAAGCCUGAUCCAGCAAUGCCGCGUGCAGGAUGAAGGCCUUCGGGUUGUAAACUGCUUUUGUACGGAACGAAACGGUGAGCUCUAAUACAGUUUGCUAAUGACGGUACCGUAAGAAUAAGCACCGGCUAACUACGUG